rnacentral:rRNA from 1 species
UACGUAGGGGGCAAGCGUUGUCCGGAAUCAUUGGGCGUAAAGCGCGCGUAGGCGGCCCGGUAAGUCCGCUGUAAAAGUCCAGGGCUCAACCCUGGAAAGCCGGUGGAUACUGUCGGGCUAGAGUCCGGAAGAGGCGAGUGGAAUUCCUGGUGUAGCGGUGGAAUGCGCAGAUAUCAGGAGGAACACCAAUUGCGAAGGCAGCUCGCUGGGACGUUACUGACGCUGAGACGCGAAAGCGUGGGGAGCAAACAGG